UACGAAGGGGGCUAGCGUUGCUCGGAAUUACUGGGCGUAAAGGGAGCGUAGGCGGGUUAUCGAGUUGGGGGUGAAAGCCCGGGGCUCAACCUCGGAAUUGCCUUCAAAACUGAUAACCUGGAGUAUGGAAGGGGUAAGUGGAACUCCGAGUGUAGAGGUGAAAUUCGUAGAUAUUCGGAAGAACACCAGUGGCGAAGGCGACUUACUGGUCCAUUACUGACGCUGAGGCUCGAAAGCGUGGGGAGCAAACAGG
rnacentral:rRNA from 1 species